rnacentral:tRNA from 1 species
GGCGGGUUCGUCUAGCGGCCCAGGACGGGUGGUUUUCAUCCACCAAACCACGGGUUCGAAUCCCGUACACGCUACAA